rnacentral:rRNA from 1 species
CGGGACGGGUGAGUAAUGUCUGGGAAACGUGCCUGAUGGAGGGGGGUAACUACUGGAAACGGUAGCUAAUACCGCAUAACGUCGCAAGACCAAAGGGGGGGACCUUCGGGCCUCUUGCCAUCGGAUGUGCCCAGAUGGGAUUAGCUAGUAGGUGGGGUAACGGCUCACCUAGGCGACGAUCCCUAGCUGGUCUGAGAGGAUGACCAGCCACACUGGAACUGAGACACGGUCCAG